UUUUGGUUACAUAACUAAUAUGAUAAACUCAUUCAUGGAGACACUCCUCUUCUCUUUCCAAGGUAUGCUCCAAAAGAAGGAGUUGAUAUUGUUGCUGAAGGGAUGAGAUGAGACUGGAGCAAGCCUGGGUGGGUUAUGGGCUCCACAUGUAAGAUAUACCCAUAUCUCAAAUGAACACAUGUUUGUCCUCUUGGAGUUUCAGGUGCAGGAGUGCACGUGUAUGUCUUCUCGGAGUUUCACGUGCAGGAGUGCAUGCACAAGAGUUAGCCGAUUUUGUAUCCGUUGAGUCUUGUUAUCCCUCAUUGUGUGGUUGCAUAACUCAUAGAGAAUUUGAGAGUCAAUACUGGAGUGUCGUUGCAGGACAUUCCAGGAUUAUGUCUCCUGUCGACUAUCUGAUUGAAGUGGUGCUGGUUUACCACAUUCGUGAAAUACAAAUGGAAGAGGAGGCAAGUGGAGUAGUUUUAGGAAAGGGAGGUGAUACUCAGAAGUGAAAACAUACAAUCAUCCAAUGAGACAAAGUCAGCUUGCUUGCGAGGGUGUCUCGGCCGCUGCGGUGGGAAGUUGCAUGCUGCUGGGCAGGAAUCUGCAAGAUCCUGGGACAAGUCAUUCAGAAAAUAUAGUAGGAGAACUACACAUUAGGAGAAACUAUAGAGGAACAUUGUAGGUACUUGUUUUAUAAGUUGCUGUCUAGAUUCUGAAGCAGGCUUUCCCUUUUGUCUGUUGAUCAAUGGGAAACUAAAUGUCCCUUUUGUCUGUU